UCAUCAUAAUUUGUUAAGAGUAUCACCUUGGUGCACAAAUCUUCUGUGCCAAAUACUUCACGUCUUUGAACAUCGACUGAAAGUUACCAGAGAGAAUUUAUCUUUGUCUUUUGGUGCUGUCCUGCGACUGUGUAAUACGAACGUAAAGUCUGUAAAAUGAGAAACUCAGAUGUGUUUUUCUGGUUCCCAAUAAAUCUUUUUACUGUGAGGGCCUAAAGUAACUCCAAGACAGAAAAGACAAUAUCAGGCUUAUUCCAAAUUAGCAAACCCCUUUGAUCUGAGCCCAGCCCUGUCUUACUUUGAUAGCUAUUAGUUACAUCUGGCAUUUUCAUAUGCUAAUUUCCCUCUCCUUUCCCCAUAUAUUAAUAGAAGUGGAAGUAAACGUAUAAACAAACUUCUUUUCAAUAGAUAAUCAACUUUUUGAUAUAACUGUGGUGGUGACACUGUCUUUCAGCAUAUGUUCCAAUCACCAUUAAACUUCAAAGCACUGUGCAAUCAAGACCUGCUUCUUCCCUACAGCCAAAUCAGAGGAUUGAAUACAGGAGGGCUGGCUACAGAUGUGACUCUGCACAGAUGUGAGCAUCUCUUUCUCCCCAUCCCCUUUCCUUACUAAAAUCAGGGAUGUGGGUUGGAAAAAAAUCAGAGCUGCAGGAAGAAAAGAACAGGAAGCAGCCAGCAUCACGAACAACCUCUUUUCUGCUUGACAGAAGUGAAGAGCACUUGGGAAAAAAUGGUGAAUGUUGCUACCAUAAACUGAGUAAGUACUUCUACAAAUGACCUUUACUGCUGAGCCUGAGAGAGCUCGAGGCUUGCCCUGUGCCUGGGAUGUGUUGUGCCACCUUGUCGGCAGAGCUCUGAAAUUAGCCAGGCUUUUCCUGCCUUACCUCCUCUAACACACUUGCUCCAAGUGGAGGGACCUGGAGGGUGAUUUCCCUUAUUAUCCUGGUUUGGGGUAACUCAGUUUUGUGAGGCACACUGUAAAAGCAUAAAAAUUGGGAUUUAUGAAGUAAUCUGAAGCCUUUAACUAUUAAGCAGCUACUGACUAUAUGGCAACAUUAAGUACAUGAAGGAAGUCACUUGGUCUGUGUUCUAAAAGACAUGCUUAUGACUUGUAAUUUAUGCAUCGCAUCCACUUAAAAUUGGUGCUUUAAAGCUUAUCUCCUUGUAUGCAGGCAGCACCUACCUUCUGCAUUGCGUCCUUCAGUUUUUUAGUGGUUACCCAGUGUUAUGAUAAUGAUACUCAGAGAUGCUGGAAUGGUUUGAGCAGCCAGAUGGUGAGAUUGGUGAAUAAAAUCCUGGAACUGGGAUGCAAUCAUCUAGUGCUUUUCUGAUAACAAGUAUUUAUCCUGCAAUGCUUUGCUUUUAAUUCAGCUCUUCCUUGCCAGCUAAUCAGAGCCAGCAGUAGAUGUCCUCUCUGCUAUAAUGGGCAUCAGGAACUGCAUUUCAUGGGUGAAUGUUUCUCUAGCAGAACCUUCUAGUCUCUGCCAUGCCCUCAAGGAGCUUUGCUGCUGCAAUAUGUGGCCCAGACAUCCUGUUGUAGUCACCUUAGGAUAAUUCUUGGCUGCAUUGAGAGCUGAGCUAUCCCUUACUCUUCAUAACUGGUUAAAAAGUGUGUUUGUGUGUGUAUACACACACACACACAUAAAUGUAUAUAUAUAUAUAUGCAUCCUCAUUUUCAGAUGGAUGAUUAUGUUACUGAGCCAGAAGAAGUCCAGAUUCAUCCUUUUCCUACUUUUAAUCUCUCUGAAAGACACGGGCUUUAGCCCACCUCACUAUCCAUCAUUUACAGACUUCUGUCUCUUAGAAAUGCUUUCUAGACAGUGUUGGCAUGGGUAGACUUGCUGCAACCUCAGGUGUGCAAGCCAUAUCAGGCCUGCUUAUUUUUAAAGUAUGGCAGGGUUAUUUUCUUCCUGGAUGCUGCCCAUGUUCUUGUCCGUGUGGCUAGCAUGCUUUCAUAAUGUCUGAGAACGUUAAGGAGGAGAAAUUCUAACAUAACCGUGCCCUGAUAGUACACCUCCUCUUGCUCUUGGCCAUCCUGUCUGCUGUUAGAGCUGUGUGUGCUGGGAGGCAGUGAAGAGUUCUGUUAAUUCCAGAGAAAUUCUGGAUCAGAUAGGUCUCUGUUGGAGGUCUGGGCUGAAUUACUUCUGCAUCCAUCAGCAAGCACAAGGCAGGAUGGCAUGCAGGUUGUGUUCAUUUGCACUGAGGACUGUCUUUGACUCCCUGAAUAAGAAAACAUCUUUACUCCCUGCUUCUAAUGAGCUGAGAGCUCAUGGUUUCCAGCUCUGCAGUGCAUGUGUGAAAUUGGCCAGCAGGAUCCGAGCUGGGACUCAAGGUGACCAGAGAGGGAGUCCGUCACGAUGCCCCUACAUAGACAGUAAGGGAAACAGACUCUUGAAAGCUUUGGAAGUGUUGGGAUGAAGUGGGUGGAUGUGCAGCCUGUGCUGAGGCUAACUUGGCAUCAGGAGAGGUGCCUGUGGGAUGCUGCUGGUUGGGGGCAGUUCAGUGAGUUUGCAGUGGGUGUAAUAGUGUGGCAUCGUAGAGCUACUUCCACUGAGGAAAGGGCUUUCCCAGACCUACCUUGGUGCAGCAUAGUCCCUGUCUGCUAUCCCAGUGCAAAUUUACAUUCUCUUUAGGAAGCCUGCUGCUGGCUGGCCGGAGCCUGCUUUGCCCAUGUUCUGCACUGUCUGGCUGCAAAUCAGCUUUAAAGCAAGAGCAUGAUGAGCUGGUGGGGGGAAGCACUGCUGGGAAGCUCUGCAUUUCCCUGCGCUACCUGUGUAUCUCUGCAGGUCCACACAGCUCGGCGCAGGAGUGGAGCAAACCUCUGUCACUAGACAGCCCUGUAAAUAAACCCAAGCCGGCAGAGCACUGACUGUCACCCUAUGUUUACCCAAGUCACAGGUCUAGAUGUUGCCUCCCAGCAAACUCACAUGCACUGCAAGAUCCAUUUAGCCAAUGCUAAACACGUUCCAAAUCCUGCCGUAGUAUUUUCCUUAUAUUUGACAGUUGUUUCCUUUAUUAUGUGGCCACUCAUGAGGGAGCUAUUUCAUAGGGAUUUCAAAUGCCUUCUUUGUAAAAACUGCAACUCUUCCUAUUUGCAGGAGAAAGUCUGUUUUAUUCCUCUUGUUCUGUUUCAUUUUUCCUAAACUAAGCACUUUGCUUCAAAAGGGUGUCCUUGUAAAUCUUUGUCCUUUUAAAUUCAAGGGUCAAUGAUACUUUCUAUAUGCAAAUUCAGUUGUUAAAUGUAUUGCGCAUUACUACUCCUGGCAGAUGGGAAGAAACUGCAAAUUUAUCAUGGUGAUGGCUUCAGGAACAAAGUAAGUAAUUAUAGACACAGUAUGACAACUAACCACAGUCUCUUUUAUUCUCUAGUGUUCUCAGUAGCCUUUCGUAUGAAAGAAGUAGAAGGUUACCUUAGCUGUGUGUCUGUUUCUAAGCCAGUAUUACCAGGGACUACAGUGUAUAGCUUUUAUUAUUACCCAUUAGAAUGCAAUUUAACUUCUGGCCCCCUAAUAAAACUCUUCCCAGAGAUGCAUUCAUAAAUACAAGUUUAUUUUGUGUUAAACUUUAUGUUUGUUUCUUGUACCCUAUAAGGAAUCAUAGGCAGUUGGAAGGGGAAUAUUAUGCC